rnacentral:sRNA from 1 species
GUGUAAGGAUUUAAUGCUAAUAUCGCCACAUCCUGUGGCGGCAACUCCUGAGUAACCGACAUUCUGUAGG